UCGUCCCGACUCAGCAAGCAACAACAGACUUCCAGAGAUGGUGAAGAGAGACCGAGAAGACACGGAGGUCGAAGCCCUGGCUGUGGCCAACAGCUUGAUGCUCCUCUCCCGAGUCGGCCAGAGCACCGACUCGAACCACAAAUCAUGACCUACAGAGAGGAUCUUCGCGUGCAAGACGUGCAACCGCGAGUUCUCGUCCUUCCAGGCGCUCGGAGGGCACAGAGCCAGCCACAAGAAGCCGAAGCUGAUCUCUGGCGACCUCUUACACCUCGGCCACUCAGUGGAUUCCUCGCUGGACAAGCCGAAGACGCACAAGUGCUCGAUAUGUGGCCUCGAGUUCCCGCUUGGCCAAGCCCUUGGUGGUCACAUGAGGAGGCACAGGGCUGCCAUACUGAAGAGAUUGGCUGCGGCGGCCGCAGCUGCAAAGCCUGUGCCGGUGUUGAAGAAAUCGAACAGCAAGAUAGUCACGGGCUUGGAUUUGAACUCGUCGCCGAUGGAGGACGACUUGACCUUGCGUUUAGGAAAGUUUGCGCCGCCUUUGGCGCUAGAUCUCGUUUUGUAGGGCUUAGAGAACGUAGAUUGUGUACAGAGCAGUUUUCAGUCGGUGCCUGACCGUUCCUUUUUUUUCUUUUCCUUCUUUUUUGUAUUCAUUGAUUGAUACUUUGAAUCAGACACUGGGUUUCGCAUGGAUAUUCAUUUGU